CGGCUUCAACAGGCCGCACUUCCGGCAGCCCUGCGGAAUCUUUCGGUGCAGACCUGGAGCCUCAGCGUGGUGGCUUCUCCCGUCCCUGUCGCUCCGGGCUGCGGGGCUCUGCCCCGGCGGGUCCCUUCCUUGCUUCAGUGGGUGCCACCCCCUCCGAGGCGUGGCUUCUCGUUGUUGUGCCCCAGACCGGGCAAGGGCCUGGCGGUGGUUGCCCGCGUGAUGGUGACCGCUUGUUCCUCCACCUGCUCUGCUGUUUACGGACUCCAGGGGCGGGUUUAAGCCGCGCGCCUAGGAAGGCCAUGGGCGGCGCAGACCCCCAGCCCGGGGGGAGACUUAGGCAGCCAGGACUGGAGUACCCGAGGAGUAUGGUUCGGCGACUUGAAGAAGCGAUUGGGAGCUGGAGGAAGAGCUGGCAGUCUCCCGUCUCCUGAUACACAGCCCCUGCCUCCCCAAGGACGGGCCAUUGCCCUUCCGUCUGGCGCGUGUGGCCUGGGGCUCCGAGGCUCUCAAGAAGAGUUCAAGACGGGAAGGACAGGACGGCCCAGAGGCGUCGGGGAAGGCGUGCGGCGGAGCCGGUGCCCUGUCCGUGGUGGUGGAGAAGAGGUAUGGACCAAUCCCCUCAGGACCCCUGACUGCUCUUGGUGAAGAAGAAAUCAGAGGCCAAAUCUGGACUUAUAGGGGUGCACCUGAAAUUUUUGGUGCUUUCGGUGCGUUGUUAGAGUACUGAGCUGAAACUGUCCUUUUGAAGCUGUGGUGCCGGAGUCCAGCUCUAGCCAAGGGGUGGGAUGCCCGAAGGUGCAGGACGGAGUCAGCGAAACAGUGAGGGAAAAUUAGGAGUCAGACAUGGAGUCAAGCUGGAAUCAUCUCCUAGUCACAGCUCCUAGUGAGUGUGCCAGUAGUGGUUUUAUUUAUAUGAUUAUUUCCAGACAUUUACCCUUUGAUCAAUAAUAUUACAAUCUUUAUUUAUCCUUUGAUCAGUGAUGAUACAAUCUUAUUUCCUUUCUUUCAUAUUCCAGGUGACUACCCUUAAUUGCAGACAGCUGACAUCUCUAUUUCCUGAUUCAUGCAAUUCUUAGUAUGAUUAUUUUUGGACACUAUCUCAUUUUUAUGCAGAGCAUGUUCACCAGAAUACAUGAUGGGAAAAGGACAGGUGCAAGAGUUCAAUCAAAGUUCACUGACUAAUAAUUCACAUUACAAUUCUCAUCUUCUAAAGGCCUAAUACAAUAAAUACAUUUAAUUUUUCUGUACCAUUUAUUCCACGUUUCUGUCCACACUUUAUGUGCUUGACGUGUCCAAAGACACUAAGGUUUCUUUCCUCUUUUAAUCCUUUCCCAUGAGACAGAACCAAGUCAAACCAUCUUAUAAUCAAUCCACUAUUACAAAUUCAUAUCUUCAUCAUAUACUCCUUCAUAGGGUACUGUGGGUAACAAAGUAAACUUCUCUAUAUUGCUCAUGAAUUUUCUUCCUCUAGGGAGAUACCAAAAUCUUCCUCCUAUGAGAUAAGCGGGGCCAUGUGGUCCUGCUACAGUGGGAACAGCUCUAUUUAUUUUAUCUAGGCCUUUAUUAGCCUCUUGCAUCGGGGCUUUUCCAAGAGCCUGGAUCCAUGAUUUCCUUAUGCUGGAUUUUCUUAAAGAAUUCCUCAUUACACACAUUAGUGCUAUUACAAAACGGAGGGCAUAAUUCUUGAGGCUUUCCUGUAAUUAUUAACCUUUUACUUUGUUCUUUCUGCAUCUCAUUUUCUUUCUGUGUUCCAUUAUGUUCCUUAGAAAUAUUCUGCAAACCUGCUGGGAAAUCAGUGUCCCCAUCAGUUAUGGUUAACUUAUCAAAGGAAAAUUAAGCUCUGGGUAUGAAUACAGGAAUAAAAAGUCCAGAAGGAGGCUGUCUAGGCCCUGCGAUUCCAACAGGUCUCUAGGUUACCCCUUUAUUUCUUAUUGACCAUCUUAAUGUUACCAACCCAAAUUUUGGGUUCUUUUGCCUGGCAUCAUUUACUCGCAAGACUGGGUUCAGUUUAGCAGAGCAGAAACUUCAGUCUCUGGGCAAAGAACAGAGAAGGGUGAGUUUUCCAAAUGCCACCUUCUUCCAGAAGGGAGGAAAGUGAGGAUUUCUUGAGGGGUGAGGGGGCAUGGGUGGUAGGAGCACCAUCUCAACCUCAAGAAGAGGACAGAGUCCCGGAACUGCUGGAGCGUGUGCAGUCCUUCAGGCUUCUUUGUGCUGGCCUGAAAUGUGCCUAGCAAGGGGCACCUCUCUCCCCAGGGCGAGGAUUUUAGUAUUAAAAUGAAGGUAUAAUGAGCUGGAAGUAGGUUAAAGGUGAAGCUCAGCCAGCUUCUUCAGUUUUCCUGAUUCCAGCUGGUUCUGUGUUUGGCCUUCCUGGUGGUUAUCACCGACCUGGCUCGGUUCCUAUAAGCAAGCCCAGCUUCAGAUAAAAUUCUUAGCUUUUAGUUCUUUUGUUAUCUUAUUCAUAAGCAGACUUGGGUGACAAUUUUUCCUCCUCUAUGUCCCGCUGUUCAUUCUUGAGGGGCAAUGGAUGAAGGUCCAUCUCACCUGGCCCUGGAUGGCAAGCUCACUACAUACGUGUUGAGCCAUGCAUUGUCAUUGACUUUAUAUAAAGAACCCUGCCCAGUGCUCUGUGCCACUUGGUGGCACAGCUACAAGGCUGCAGGAGAGCAGAGCAGAGGCUGGAGUGGUGGCAGCACCGAGGACAGAGGGCAAGAGGACAGCUCUGCAGGUAGAGGGGCCCAGAGGCAGAGACCAGCUUGCUGCGUGCAGACUUGCUCUGAGUGAACAGGAUUUUAGUGACUGACCUGCCAUCGUGGAAAUAAAGUUGGGUAUGACCCUUU